CUUACACCUGAAAAAUGUCUGCUAACACCAGAUCGUCUUGAUGCCAAACUCUAGCCCAAUCGACAUGACCUGGAAUAACAAAGCUACUACAUACACCCAACUAAAGCAUUUACUAGUCCCAGUAUAGGCGAUAGAAAAGACACCAUUGGAGCGAUAGAGACCACGUACCGUAAGGGAAAGAUGAAAUAUUAGUGAAAUAAACUAAGCUAAAAACAGCAAAGAUCAACCCUUGUACCUUUUGCAUCAUGGUCUAGCAAGAAAAACCAAGCAAAAUGAAUUUAAGUUUGCCAUCCCGAAACCCAAGCGAGCUACUUACGAGCAGCUAUUUUGAGCGAACCCGUCUCUGUGGCAAAAGAGUGGGAUGACUUGUUAGUAGAGGUGAAAAGCCAAUCGAGCUGGGUGAUAGCUGGUUGCCUGUGAAACGAAUCUUAGUUCACUCUUAAUUCUUCUCCAAGGAAACCUCAUGAACCCUAAUGAAGCGAAUUAAGGGCUAUUUAAAGGGGGUACAGCUCCUUUAAAAAAGAAAACAAUCUCCACGAGCGGAUAAGUAAGGAUACCUCCAAUAGUACUGUGGGCCCUCAAGCAGCCAUCAACAAAGAGUGCGUUAAAGCUCUACUUCACAAAAAUAUGAAAACAACAUGACUCCCUCAUCAUUAACAGGCUAACCUAUAUAUAAAUAGGAGAAUUAAUGCUAGAAUGAGUAACCUGGGUCCUCCCUCUACGACGCAAGCUUACAUCUGUACAUUAUUAACAAAUCACCAAUAUACGACAAAUCAAACAAGCAGAGUAUUAAAUACAUUGUUAACCCGACAAAGGAGCGUCC
rnacentral:rRNA from 1 species